rnacentral:lncRNA from 1 species
CUGAAAGGGCUGCUGGUCUUCAGCGCUGGAACCCCCCAGCCCCGACUCCCAGCGGGCAUCUUGGAAGAAGGCCUGGCCGUGCUGAGGCCACCAGCAGGCCGUUCACUGACCAGGACAUGUUCCUUUCACAUCGUGGCACCAUCGAGACUUGUUGAAUGGGACCAGAAGGGGAGCUCUUCAUGGGGGAGAGACAGAGUCUUGGUGCCCUAUGGACCACUGGCCAAGUUCAGUGAGAGCUUGGCGCAUAGACGAUACGGACAUGUUUGUGGGCUGAAUGAGCAGAUGCACAAGUGAAUGGGUCCUAAACACCGUUGGAGCGUCCGGGCUGCUCGGGGUGAAAAUACGGGCUUAUCAGACAAAUUAGGAGUUAAAUCAGGUAGCAACCCAGAUGGUGUCUAGCCUUUCAAAAUUAUAAUUGCAGAUCUGAGAACAAGGAAAAAUAUAGCCUAGAAUGGUACGAAAUAUGGUGGGGAAGAAAACCACAGUGAUUUUUUUCCCUGAGAAUGCUACUCAAGAUGAGCUGAAAGCUCACCGCCGACGGCCUUCAGAUAAUCUGAUCCCUGGAACUCUGCAAGCAUGGGGUCUUCUUGAGUCAUUUUUCAGAGAACCACCCCCGCUUCAGUUAUCUGGACUUGGGAGGCCUUUUCCAGCCUCAGGGACCCUGACUACCUUUUCUUCCCAACAACUAUUAUUAGCGGGAGAAGCAUGUUGUACCGCAGAGAACACAAACUUGGGAGCAGAAGAGACCUGGGCUCGAAUUCGGGUUCUGUCACUUAUUGGCUGUGUAACUUUUGACAAGUCACUUCACCUCUCUGAGCCUCAGUUCCCACACCUGGAAAAUGGGGGGAUUUUGACCUACCUAAGGGUUUGUUUCAAGAAUGACAAGAAAGAUGAUGGACAUAAAUAGACCUAGUACAGUGCGUGACAUCAAGUGGGCAGCGGACACAACGAAGUUCCCUUCUCCUCAUCCCUAUUCAGUCCUUCUCCCCGUCUUCAUUACUGGCUAGUCUGCACGGCCCCAGUGAAAACGUUCCCUAAAUGCCCACUUUUAGCAAGGAACAGCAAUCAAUCCAGACAACUCAGAACGGCCGCCUCCACUCUGGCUGCUAUGUUUUUCCGCAGGUUUCCUGCAGCUUGCUAACUGACCCACCUCUUGAGAGCACCGCUCUCCUGUUCAUUCAUUCAUUCACACACUUGGUUAUCCAUGCAUUCAACAAAUAUUGACCUGAAACCACUAUGUGCCAGGCAUGGUGGUAAACACGGGGGUCAUGGAGUGAACAAGGAGGCGAAUGAGGCUCCUGCUGUCACGGACCUCACAGACAAAUGGACUUUUCCCAUCUUGAUGUGCUUAAACACAGAAGAGUGAUGAUAAAGUGAGUGACAAGACUCUGGUGGCUCUCCUUCCAGACCCAGCCUCUGGUACUGUGUUGGUUUCCAAGGCCACCAUAUCAAAGAAUCACAAACUUAGUAGCUUAAAACACCAGAAGUUUAUUCUCUCACAGUUCUGGAGGCCAGAAGUCCAAAGUCCAGUUGCCAGCAGGACUGUGC